GGCGGCAGGCUUAACACAUGCAAGUCGAGCGCCCCGCAAGGGGAGCGGCAGACGGGUGAGUAACGCGUGGCAACGUACCCUUUUCUACGGAAUAACGCAUGGAAACGUGUGCUAAUACCGUAUGUGCCCUUCGGGGGAAAGAUUUAUCGGAAAAGGAUCGGCCCGCGUUGGAUUAGCUAGUUGGUGGGGUAAAGGCCUACCAAGGCGNNNNNNCAUAGCUGGUCUGAGAGGAUGAUCAGCCACAUUGGGACUGAGACACGGCCCAAACUCCUACGGGAGGCAGCAGUGGGGAAUAUUGGACAAUGGGCGCAAGCCUGAUCCAGCCAUGCCGCGUGAGUGAUGAAGGCNNUAGGGUUGUAAAGCUCUUUCACCGGUGAAGAUAAUGACGGUAACCGGAGAAGAAGCCCCGGCUAACUUCGUGCCAGCAGCCGCGGUAAUACGAAGGGGGCUAGCGUUGGUCGGAUUUACUGGGCGUAAAGCGCACGUAGGCGGAUCGAUCAGUCAGGGGUGAAAUCCCAGAGCUCAACUCUGGAACUGCCUUUGAUACUGUCGAUCUGGAGUAUGGAAGAGGUGAGUGGAANUCCGAGUGUAGAGGUGAAAUUCGUAGAUAUUCAGAGGAACACCAGUGGCGAAGGCGGCUCACUGGUCCAUUACUGACGCUGAGGUGCGAAAGCGUGGGGAGCAAACAAGAUUAGAUACCCUGGUAGUCCAC
rnacentral:rRNA from 1 species